GACGAACGCUGGCGGCGUGCUUAACACAUGCAAGUCGAGCGGAAAGGCCUCUUUCGGGGGGUACUCGAGUGGCGAACGGGUGAGUAACACGUGAGUAACCUGCCCUUGACUUUGGGAUAACUUCAGGAAACUGGGGCUAAUACCGGAUAGGAGCUCCUGCUGCAUGGUGGGGGUUGGAAAGUUUCGGCGGUUGGGGAUGGACUCGCGGCUUAUCAGCUUGUUGGUGGGGUAGUGGCUUACCAAGGCUUUGACGGGUAGCCGGCCUGAGAGGGUGACCGGCCACAUUGGGACUGAGAUACGGCCCAGACUCCUACGGGAGGCAGCAGUGGGGAAUAUUGCACAAUGGGUGGAAGCCUGAUGCAGCAACGCCGUGUGCGGGAUGACGGCCUUCGGGUUGUAAACCGCUUUCGCUCAUGACGAAGCUUUGUGUGACGGUAGUGGGUAAAGAAGCACCGGCUAACUACGUG
rnacentral:rRNA from 1 species